CCGGCGGCUCCUGCCUGCCCUCAGCUCUCCUUAACAUGAUGGGGUCCCGCUUCGCCUCGCCGAGGGCGCGCCCCCCACUGAAGGCCCCGGUGUUGGGGCGGGCCUGACCGCCCUGGCAGGACCCCCAAGUGAGGACAGAGAGAGAGAGAAGCAGAGGGAGAAGCAGGCUCCCAAGGAGCAGGGAGCCCGAUGCAGGACUCGAUCCCAGGACCCUGGGAUCAUGACCUGAGCCGAAAGCAGACGCUUAACCAUCUGAGCCACCCAGGCACCCCAUAGAGCUUAUUUUUAAUGAUGCGAGAGAGAGCACCAAGCAGGAGGAGCAGCAGAGGGAAAAGGAGAAGCAGGC